AUGGACACAGGAUGGACACACGGACGCAGGAUGGGCACACGGACACCGGAUGGACACACGGACAUGGGAUGGACACAGGAUGGACACACGGAUGCAGGAUGGGCACACGGACACCGGAUGGACACACGGACAUGGGAUGGACACACGGACACCGGAUGGACACACAGACGCAGGAUGGACACACGGACGCAGGAUGGACACACGGACGCAGGAUGGACACACGGACACGGGAUAGACACAGGAUGGACACAUGGACACAGGAUGGACACACGGACACGGGAUGGACACAGGAUGGACACAUGGACACAGGAUGGACACACGGACACGGGAUGGACACGGGAUGGACACAGGAUGGACACACGGACACGGGAUGGACACGGGAUGGACACUGGGACGGCCUCGGGGCGUGGAGGGGCCGGGGGGCUCCAGGAGCCGGGGGGGGCACAGCCCAGGGGGCCCAAUAAAGGCACCGAGUGUCACAGGCUGGCACUGACACCCGUGGGGACACACACGGGGACACGGGGACACCCUGGCACUGACACCCACGGGGACACACAUGGGGACAUGGGGACACGGGGGUCACUGCCACCCGCGGGGACACACACGGGGACAUGGGGACACCCUGGCACUGCCACCCGUGGGGACACACACGGGGACAUGGGGACACCCUGGCACUGCCACCCGCAGGGACACACACAGGGACAUGGGGACACCCUGGCACUGCCACCCGCGGGGACACGGGGACACCCUGGCACUGCCACCCGUGGGGACACACAUGGGGACACCCUGGCACUGCCACCCACGGGGACACACGCGGGGACAUGGGGACACGCUGGCACUGACACCCGUGGGGACACACACGGGGACAUGGGGACACCCUGGCACUGCCACCCGCGGGGACAUGGGGACACCUUGGCACUGCCACCCGCGGGGACACACACGGGGACACCCUGGCACUGCCACCCACGGGGACAUGGGGACACCCUGGCACUGCCACCCGUGGGGACACACACGGGGACACGGGGACACCCUGGCACUGACACCCGUGGGGACACACACGGGGACACCCUGGCACUGCCACCCGCGGGGACAUGGGAACACCCUGGCACUGCCACCCGUGGGGACAUGGGGACACCCUGGCACUGCCACCCGCAGGGACAGGGACACGGGGGUCACUGCCACCCGUGGGGACACACACGGGGACAUGGGGAC
rnacentral:lncRNA from 1 species